CAGCAAUUCAAAGUUAUCUCAUGCCAACAAAAACAAAAUCAACUACUUUCACCCGCAUGAUAGUUUUCAACAUUACUGAUUGUGAUAGGAACCAGUUAAAAUGAUCCUGGUAUGUUACAUAAAAAGUAGCUGCCUGAAUUUGGAUAGAUAUUUUCAGAAUAAUGUUUUAUUUUAUAGUCAUCACGCAUAAUUCUAAAUCCCAGCAGCAAUCAGAGAAUUAUUUUAAACUUUAAAAAUGUUUUUCAUGAACAAAAAUGUUUGUCAUAUGUUAAUAUAUUGCCAAGUUGUCGUCUCCAAAUUGACUUGAAUAAGCAUAUUUUCUGCAAAGAAAAUUAAUCCUGAAUGAAGAUUGACAGUAAGAUUAAUUGAAAGUUUGGGUUUGUGAAGUAUUGGUUUAAUCCUGGGUGUCAUAAGACCAGGAAUUAGUUAAAUAGAAAAACAGCAGCCAAAGUGUGACAGAUUUGAAAUGUUGUCAAUGCAACAUACAGUAUGGCUGCAUCUUAAGAUCUGCUGAAACAGAGAUAGAACAGGGAUUGAAGCAGUGACCAAUCCUCUUUGAGGGGAACAGUUUAAGUGUUUUGCAGAGACUUUGCCACAUAUAGAACUGUGCAAAAGUCUGUGGCACCCUAGAUUUCAGAAGGUAGGGUCUCCACAGAGGCCUGAUCUGAUCAUCCAGGCUGCCUGGGACCACCUGGAGAGAUAGAAGCAAGCAAAACAGCCAAAGUCUGCAGAAGAACUGUGGUGUCUUUGUGAUUUAACCAACACUGGAUGACAGUUUCUCUAAGCACUGAGCAACUAAAUCAGUUAUCUUUAAGAACACCACUGGAGCCUGUCUUCUGAAAGGGCUGCAAAGAAAAGAGCAUCAGGACCAUCACGGAGAUUGCUGAGCCAACCUCCAGAUGGCUAUGGAUCAAGAGGUGUGACCCGUGGACCAAUGGUGCUGGGACACAAACCAGGCCCUGAUCAACCCUGGCUGGAUCUCCUGAGCGAGAGUGUCUGAUGUUGAAAGAUCUGAAACACCUGAUGGCCCCAUGUUACAUCACUGAGGCCGAGUCCCAACGCAUCCUAGGAUGUAUCAUAGCAUCUUAGCAUCAUCAUAGAUUUCUACUUCAUCUGAAAUUAAACCUAAAGAGUCUCUUUACUACAUUAUACCCUUCCAAAAUCCAAUUCAACCUAUAUUGUCAAUUUUUCAUUUCUAUUAAGUGAAAUUCAAAGUUUAAAAGAUAUAUAUUCAUCACAGAAUAUGCACACAUUAUUUAGCUAGAUAAUUCAAAUCAAUUUGUGUAAAAUAUUUGGCCAUUAGAUCAAAUAUAUACUUAUGGCCUUUAAGAACAAAGUGAACAGCAUACCUCAAGACACUCGUGCAAAUCUCGAACGUAUGCUUUUUCAGUCUGCAGGAGCUCAGCCAUUAUAAAUCUGAAAUGAAAGUGGGAAGAAAAUUUUGUAUGAAGUACAAUAACAGUUUACACAAUUAGACAUUGAAACAAAUCUUCAUUUUAAUCUAAAAAUGACAAAUUUUGUUAAUGCUUUGGAAGAUAGGAAAAUUAUUCCACAUAUUAUCUGCACAUUAUUUUAUUAAC